rnacentral:snoRNA from 1 species
GUGGCUGUGAAGAUGAAACCUAUGUACCAUCAAAUUCUGAGGCGCGUGGAGUGCCCUGACGACUACUUUCAGCCUUGUCUGAGCCAC